CCUACGGGAGACAGCAGUGAGGAAUAUUGGUCAAUGGGCGCGAGCCUGAACCAGCCAAGUCGCGUGAGGGAAGACGGUCCUAUGGAUUGUAAACCUCUUUUGUCGGGGAGCAAAAGACGCCACGCGUGGCGUUCCGAGAGUACCCGAAGAAAAAGCAUCGGCAAACUCCGUGCCAGCAGCCGCGGUAAUACGGAGGAUGCGAGCGUUAUCCGGAUUUAUUGGGUUUAAAGGGUGCGCAGGCGGAAGAUCAAGUCAGCGGUAAAAUUGAGAGGCUCAACCUCUUCGAGCCGUUGAAACUGGUUUUCUUGGGUGAGCGAGGAGUAUGCGGAAUGCGUGGUGUAGCGGGGAAAUGCAUGGAUAUCACGCAGAACUCCGAUUGCGAAGGCAGCAUACCGGCGCUCAACUGACGCUCAUGCACGAAAGUGUGGGUAUCGAACAGGAUUAGAUACCCGAGUAGUC
rnacentral:rRNA from 1 species